rnacentral:lncRNA from 1 species
CUUUUUUAUCUUGCCUGGCAUAUGGAAAACAUGGAAUUACUGCAGUGACUCUGGAGGAUGAUGCAAUCUUGCAAGCAUUGAUCAUGAUGAGCAGUUCCAUUAAGUUGUCAUUUAUUUCUCCACAGCCACUCUGGAUAAUAUACACAUCUUCUCCUCUCACACUUUCACCAAUCUCUACACUGGUCUCCUGGUUGCUGAACUUCUUGGU